CUUAUUUGAACCUCCUAGCAUUGCUUUGCCACUACAAUGAAACAUCAGUUGAAAAUAUAUUCAUAUUCUUUUUCCAAUUUUGCAAAUGUUUUGAGAGAGCAGUGCUGGUAAACUUUAUGGGAAUGAUGGAGCUAUCAUGGAAAGCAGGAAUUUGGAGAAAACUGAGAAACAAUGAAACUGAUGGAAUGGAAGAAGGUCGGACAAAAACAGAUCAGAGCCUCAAUGAAGCCAAGACACAAAACAGAACAAGGUAAGUCCUGAAAGCCCAUCUCUACUGGAUAGUCAUCCUGUCAGGGGUACUU
rnacentral:lncRNA from 11 species